GGGGAAGAAAGUGGUUUAAGAAACGAGCAAGUGAACGAACAAAAAAAGAGGGUGAGAAAAGGAGAGGAAAGUAGAUUUAAUUUUACCAGCCAGGUGGCCUGUGAUUUCACCA